GUGGGUAUAGCUCAGUGGUAAGAGCACGUGCUUAGCACGCACGAGGUCUCCUGGGCUCAAGCCCCAGCACCUCCA
rnacentral:tRNA from 1 species